AGCUUCUGAUUCCAGUUUCACUGUUUCCUUGGCUGGUUCACUUAUACCAGUUACCUGUGAAGGUUUCUCAGCUUCUGAUCCUAGUUUCACUGUUUCCUUGGCUGGUUCACUAACACUAGUUACCUCUAAAGGUUUCUCAGAUUCUGAUGUUAGUCUAACUGUUUCCUUGGCUGGUUCACUUAUACCAGUUACCUGUGAAGUCUUAAAUUCUUGUUUUGGGGAUUCGUUGCUUUUACUUUCCUCGGACAGCUUCUGCUCUGGUUUUGGAGAUUCUGGUUUAACUAUUGGCUCAUUGGUUUUAGCAUCCUCAGCAGACGCUUCUUUCACAGUCUCCUCCACUGUGGUUUUCUCAUUUUCUGUGGAAACAUCAGAAUCUUUAUUCUGCAAAACACACAAAGUUAUAAACUAGAAAAGAUAAGAAAGAGCUAAGGAAUGACAUUGUGGAUAAGCUGCGUGCUAAGUUAAAAAUAGUCUGUUCAGAAUGGUUGGAUAACGAUCAUGUAGGAACUUAUGCAGAAAUUUUAUUAUAUUCCUUCUUUUCUUCCGCCUUUUUCAUUUAUUGAUUUAUGAUGUUAAAUUUGAAACUUGCUGUGGUGAAUUCAAAGUUCUUACUGGC